GUGAUUUUUUCGCGUGGAAUAAUCUAAAAUACAAUAACCACGCUGUGUAUAUAAUAUGGCUAUCCGAUAUAUGUAUUAAUACAACAUACACGCGAUUCCUUUCAUCUUUGAUGAAACGCGAUCCUCCAAUUACCUGGAAAAAUAUACUUACGUACAUAUCUUUGAUUAAAAGCUAUUGCUUCCAUACCAUUAAGACAGUCUAUCAUCAUAGAACGUCAUAAAGUUUCAAUUGACCCGCUGCUGCGCGAUUUUUCUUAAUCAUGACAGAGUUAAUUAUCUGACUGCUUCUGAAUUACGAUGAUUCCUUGUACCUUUCAAGUUCUGAAUGUAAGGACGAGAUUUUUUUUCAAGAGAAAAAGGAAAAUAAACAUAAAAAGAUUUAAGAAAAGGAAAGGAAAACCAAUAACCAACGGAUACCAUUCAAUAUCUAGAAAUGAAGAAAUAUACCAGCUAGACCAUAUUUACACUAGACACCAGCAACCAAUGUAAUUCUUCACUUCCCACGUACAUUC
rnacentral:misc_RNA from 1 species